rnacentral:rRNA from 1 species
AACGAACGCUGGCGGCGCGUCUUAAGCAUGCAAGUCGAACGGUAAGGGAGAGCUUGCUCUCCCCUAGAGUGGCGGACUGGUGAGUAACGCGUGGGUGACCUGCCCUGAAGAUGGGGAUAGCUAGUAGAAAUAUUAGAUAAUACCGAAUGUGCUCAUUUACAUAAAGGUAAAUGAGGAAAGGAGCUACGGCUCCGCUUCAGGAUGGGCCCGCGUCCCAUUAGCUGGUUGGUGAGGUAAAGGCCCACCAAGGCAACGAUGGGUAUCCGGCCUGAGAGGGUGAACGGACACAUUGGGACUGAGAUACGGCCCAAACUCCUACGGGAGGCAGCAGCUAAGAAUCUUCCGCAAUGGACGAAAGUCUGACGGAGCGACGCCGUGUGAAUGAAGAAGGCCGAAAGGUUGUAAAAUUCUUUUGCAGAUGAAGAAUAAGAAGAAGAGGGAAUGCUUCUUUGAUGACGGUAGUCAUGCGAAUAAGCCCCGGCUAAUUACGUGCCAGCAGCCGCGGUAACACGUAAGGGGCGAGCGUUGUUCGGAAUUAUUGGGCGUAAAGGGUAUGUAGGCGGUUAGGUAAGCCUGGUGUGAAAUCUACGAGCUCAACUCGUAAACUGCAUUGGGUACUGCUUGACUUGAAUCACGGAGGGGAAACCGGAAUUCCAAGUGUAGGGGUGGAAUCUGUAGAUAUUUGGAAGAACACCGGUGGCGAAGGCGGGUUUCUGGCCGAUGAUUGACGCUGAUAUACGAAGGUGCGGGGAGCAAACAGG